rnacentral:lncRNA from 1 species
AGCAACAUACAAUCUGCGACUGCGUGGAACAAUUGGGUUAAAGGAAGAUGUACCACAGCUUUUAAGGUAAUAUAAAAUGUGGAUUGAUGAGAGUCUGUGUAUAUUAAUAAUAAUUGAUUGAAAUUGUAAUGUGCUUGUUUAGGAACAAAGUGAUAAAUACCGGGAACUCAGGAAGGGACAAAUUCCUCAUACCACUAGCCGUAAAGGGAUGAUUCGACUUGCAGAUGAGAUGGUAUGUUUGUAUUUUCCGAAUCUUUGG